AAGCAAAGGGGUAGCUGCAAAGUUCUGGAUAAGACCUCUGCAGGCAACUGGAAGCACAGUGUACCCAGGGAAUCAAAGGACUGUUAAAGCUCUGAUGUAUGAGCUGCUUGGGCACUGUGAGAUGUUUUAAGAUUAUUCAACAAGGAAAUGACAGUGAACUAGACUCCAACAACUUGUGAAAUUUAAUGAAUCUAUUCAACUAGUGUCAGCUGCAUCAAUAAAUAAUUUAAUGAGAAAUCGUCAUCCAUGAAGGAGAGUGGAACUCAAACAAUCGGAUAGGAACAGACCAGACCAAGGUCAACAUUAUGGGUGGGGGAGGAAAAGUUAAGCUUUUAAGAUGUGAGUCUUACAGUUUGAUUUAGCAAAUUUUCCCACAGCCCUGUAUUCUUGAUUUUUGGUAUGAAAACCUGCAGGUUACUACCGGUGUGAUUUAAGUUGUAAAUCUUUCCAGGCAUAUAUGUUGCAAUGUCUAGGUGUAAAAGCACAGUGAAUGUAAAUCCCCUAAAUUCAUAUAAAAUGGUUAUUCAAAUUGAGAACUUGUAGCUGUGCUUAAAAACAAUUCUGCUGCAAUUGACUGGAAGUCAAUAAAGUACAAAG
rnacentral:lncRNA from 1 species